ensembl:lncRNA
CCGACCCGGCCAGCACGGGCGGUCCCGGGGCGCGCGCCCCGGACCGUGAGGGAGGUGCGGCUGAGGAAAGGAAGGAGGAGAGCAGACAAGUGCAGACUAACCAUGAAAGGAGGAAGAAGAUGCUUCUCCACUUCGAAGUGCAAGUGGUACAGAUCUUGUGGGAUGGGCAAUGCAGAGUGAAGCAUCGGAUGCGUUUCUCAGGUCAAAGUAACAUCCAGUCAGACUUUGCAUGGCAUGAGGCAGAAACAGGAUUUUCUAGCAUGACAAUGCAGGUAAAGCUCAGAGCAACUCCAGGUUGGAAACAUCAUGAUGCAAGUUGGAUGGAUGGGGAAAGAGUAGAAAACAAUGGUCUGCCAAACAGGGAAAGAGUCUUUAACUAAAGGGUAAGAAAUCAGAAGAGAGAAGAUACUUAGAGCACUUUGACUCACCUGAAAACAUGCAGCAAAUGGAAUGCCGAGGUGAAUAGGCUAUUUAGACCAGUAGAAGUAAAAAGCAGGCUUGUGAAUAGCAGCAACCAAGUGUCCACUAAUACCCCCUGAUGGAAACAGCCCUGCUAUCUGGUCUAGUAUAGCUGUCUUCCUGUUAUUUUAGUAGGAGGCUGGGCUUAGAGGAUCUCACUAAAAGAUCUCCAAAACCCUCAAUACUAGUCCCAGAGGCAUUGCUUUCCAGUAGAUCAAUUCAUCAAUUUUCUUCAAAUGCUAUUCACACAAUGUAUAGGAAGUGUGGCACAUGAUACAAGUCGUUAUUGUUACUCUGUGCACAUAUGAUGCCAAGCAAGUGGUAACUACCAAUGCUGGUUAACACUUGAAAGUGACAGAAUUCCUGUUGGGAGUGGGAAAUGACAGCCUAUCAAGUGACUUGUCAGAAACAAACAUUUAUCUGAUAAAUGGCUAGUGCUGGAAUGCACUGUCAGAGAUGGGCAUUUAGGAGGGAAACAAAAUAAGGAUAAGAUGCUGAAGCCUGUUAUCCCUUGAUAUGACCACGCUUCAGGAAAUU